UAUAUGUGAAAAAUGUUUCAUAAUGAAAUCAAAAUUUAAAACUCAUCAGAAGAGAAAAUAAAUUCCUGUGUGUAAUGUCUGCAAAAGCAGACGUAUAACUAGACAUUAAAUGUUUUUAUUGCAUUUAUUAUGUAGGCAAAGUGAAUACAAGGCACUUACUAAUGUUUGUUGAUUGUCCAUCUUGCCUCCUUUUCUCUCAUUUCCUGAGGUUACGGCCACUGCUGUGCUGCAGCAGAGAUACAAGGCGGCUGGAAGCUGCUGCGCAUGUGUGCCUAUGCACCGUACCAGCCACCAGAGAGGACGAAGGUUUUUCUUAUACUGUGCCAGAUUGCAGUAGUGGCCAUCCCUGAAUGUGUGUGGUGUGUAAUGCAAUGAAAAAUUGAAUUAAGAUCGCUAAGGAGGCAAUGUGGACAAUCACAAUACAUUAGUAAGUGCCUUGUAAAAACUUUUGUCUACGUGGUAAAUACCAUUUCCUAAAAGUGAGACAACCCCUUUAAACCACCAAUAAGAGGGUUUAUUUUUGGAUGAAAUAAGCCUGGAUUUGCCAAACACUCAGAUUAUAUUUACCUGAAUCUGGGAUCCAUGGAAGAAAAGAGGAGCAGAGAAGAUGAAGUCCCCAUGGACUUUGCUUCUCUUACUGUAUUCAUACCUCCACCCACACUGCAGGAGACUCCAGAGGGACAUAGUGAGGGAGGAAGGACUUCGCAUGGAGACUUUUAUGUAACAUGUGGACAUAUCGAUAUUUGAUCUUCAUUAAUACUGUAUAUAAUGAUAAAGGUGAUGGAAAUACGAUAAAAAUACGUUUAAUGGAGGUCAGGAUUUGGAAUGACCUACUAUUAAUAUCCUCAGUGGUCUCCGAACUAUAUACUGAUGAACUGAGUGUACCUUAUUUUGAAAGUUAAAACAUAACUUUUAUUUUUUCUGUCAAUAAAAUAAAUGAGACACUAAA